UACGUAGGGGGCAAGCGUUGUCCGGAUUUAUUGGGCGUAAAGAGCGUGUAGGCGGCCAGAUAGGUCAGCUGUGAAAACUCGAGGCUCAACCUCGAGACGUCGGUUGAAACCAUCUGGCUAGAGUCCGGAAGAGGAGAGUGGAAUUCCCGGUGUAGCGGUGAAAUGCGCAGAUAUCGGAAGGAACAUCAGUGGCGAAAGCGACUUCCUGGACCAGUACCGACGUUCAGGCACGAAAGCGUGGGGAGCAAACAGG
rnacentral:rRNA from 1 species